GACAGAGGUGCCGAGCGUUAGGCGGAAUCACUGGGCUUAAAGCGUGUGUAGGCGGGUCGUUAAGUGUCUUGUGAAAUCCCACCGCUCAACGGUGGAACUGCUGGGCAUACUGGCGAUCUUGAGCCACCUAGGGGCAGACGGAACAAGCGGUGGAGCGGUGAAAUGCGUAGAUAAUCGGGAGGAACACCUGAGGCGAAGGCGGGCUACUGGGCCGAUACCUGACGCUGAGGCGCGAAAGCCAGGGGAGCAAACGGG
rnacentral:rRNA from 1 species